rnacentral:rRNA from 1 species
AACGAACGCUGGCGGCAUGCCUAACACAUGCAAGUCGAACGAGACCUUCGGGUCUAGUGGCGCACGGGUGCGUAACGCGUGGGAAUCUGCCCUUGGGUUCGGAAUAACUUCGGGAAACUGAAGCUAAUACCGGAUGAUGACGUAAGUCCAAAGAUUUAUCGCCCAAGGAUGAGCCCGCGUAGGAUUAGCUAGUUGGUGAGGUAAAGGCUCACCAAGGCGACGAUCCUUAGCUGGUCUGAGAGGAUGAUCAGCCACACUGGGACUGAGACACGGCCCAGACUCCUACGGGAGGCAGCAGUGGGGAAUAUUGGACAAUGGGCGAAAGCCUGAUCCAGCAAUGCCGCGUGAGUGAUGAAGGCCUUAGGGUUGUAAAGCUCUUUUACCCGGGAUGAUAAUGACAGUACCGGGAGAAUAAGCUCCGGCUAACUCCGUGCCAGCAGCCGCGGUAAUGUGACUACU